AUGUCACGGUCACAGCACCCGUCGUUCCCAUUGGCUCUUUCACCAACAGCUCGGAGUCGACGGUUUUUCUGUGACAGCAUUUAUCGCACGGAGUUUCUGGGCAUCCUCAUUAUCUUUUCAAUACAGAUUGAAUUAUUGGGGAUUCAAACGGCAGAGGAAAAAGUCAAAGCAUAUAAGAAAGUGGAAGUUAAGAGAGGAAGUGGAACAGGAAGGAGUAAGGGGCAAUUCAAUGCUGUGCUACCUCAUUGGCCCGUAUGGGAUAUCAUGCAAGGCCACAGGCAAAUUUACCAUGCAGAAUUAAUGUCACCAGCCAGGUUCCUACGCUAUGUGGAACACCCAGGACCAGAAGAAUGUAAAAUUGCAAAAGCUGGUGGCUCCUGCCUCCAAGAGUUCCUGGUUUUCCUGGACACAAACGAUAGCGCAGCACUUUCUUCCCCAUGUGCCAGAGGCCUGGGGUUCUGCAGAAGAGGCCCGGAGGACCCAGACACUGCAAGGCCUGCGCUCAGUAUAUUCUGGGCCCUGUCCUCUCACUUUCUAUUUCUUGUGUGGCCCCCAUACUCAUGUCAGCUAUCCUGGAACAGUCCAGAGUUCAAUUGUGACCUGCUUCCUCCCUCAACCUCUUCUCCCCAACCUCCACACCACACUUCUUCUUUGGGAAGAUUUGUAAAAAUUAAAGUUAUUAUAUCCAUGUAA
rnacentral:lncRNA from 1 species